rnacentral:rRNA from 3 species
AACCAAUGGCCCCCUGAACGCGCAUUGCACUCUUGGGACUUCCUGAGAGUAUGUUUGCUUCAGUGCUU